UAAACAUUUUUCAGUAACAUAACACUGUUUCUUGAAGAAUAAAAAUAAGAUUAUGUAUGUACAUAUAUGUAUAAGCUGAAGCAGUAUGAGACAAUGUAUUCAAAAUAAACCAUAUAUUUGAGUAGAGACUUCUAAUUAUGCCGCACCAAAAUUAGGAAAACAUAAUUCAUUUUUUAUGUGCUUUUUUUAAUACCAACAUUUCAAAAUUACGGUCGGUGAGAUUUUGCCUUGUGGAUCGAUUGACAAUUCCAGCAAAGGAAAAAAGUCUUUCCACUGGCGCAGAGGAAGGAAGAGGUGUGUUGUAUUUAAAAAUUUUUUUUUUUAUAAUAAGAAAGCGGUGCAAAGCAUCAAUGCUUCUAUCAGCGUCAUUCAAGUACAAAGUUACUUCGGUUGCUACAGCUCCGCCUUGUAUACAUUGAUUUUCAUCUGAAAAAGGAAGUUAUUUACAAAAAUUUCGCAGGUUGGUUUCUUUAAAUCGAAUACCUGUGGACUCGUCAUCGAAUUCGAGAAAUGAUGUACUAGCACUUAUGGGUGGCUGUAAAGUAAAGGUUUAGUGAUAGUGCAUUUUUUUUCACUAUCACUAAAUAUUUAGUGGUAUUGCAAUUUGUUUUUCACUAUCACUAAAUAUUACGUGGUAGUGCAAUUUGUUUUUCACUAUCACUAAAGGUUUAGUGGUAGUGCAAUUUGUUUUUCACUAUCACUAAAGGUUUAGUGGUAGUGCAAUUUGUUUUUCACUAUCACUAAAUAUUUAGUGGUAGUGCAAAUUAGUGGUAGUGCAAAAAUGCCCAACCCUGCUUAAAACAAACAGUUUCUGUAAUUUGAAGAUAUUAUGCCAAAUAAAUAUUGUUUAUUGAAGAAAUUGUAUAUAUUACUAACCGUUGCUGUAGCGAAUUCUUCGCAUUUCAGUUUUUCUUCCAUUUCCAAAGCUGCAGCUAGUGUUGUUAAUGGUAGGGUGGAAGCAAUUUCUGUUUGUGCGUUGUCGAUUUCUUCACCAGUCAGUCGGCAUACUGAUUGGUGUACUUUCCGAAUUAGCACCUUACAUUCGCGGACGGUUUUUUGAUGGGCCAUUUCUUCGUUUUUUUGAAUUAUCUGAAAAGAGAACAAGAGCAGUUAGAUAAUACUUAAAUAAUGCUUAAACAACAAUAUCUAAACAAUACGUUUUUUUGUAUUGAUGAAUACCUACAGAACAAUAAAAACUUUUAUGGACAUAAACUUACAUUUUCUUUCAAAAAGCUGUCCAUCUUCGUUUCCAUAUUAUCAACUCUUGAAGUCAAUUCUUGUAGUUGGGUGGAAAUAGUUUUUAGCAUGUUAAAAACGUCUGAAAAAGGUGUAAACACAUAAUAAAGUAAAAUUUGUCAAGAAAUGCAUUUAAACAAUAUAUUGGAUUACCAUUUCCAUCUACAGGCAAAUUGUUUCCUUGUUGCUUCGAAAAGCUUGCCUCCGAGUUGUAGCAACCAGAAAUGUUGAAUUUCUCCGUUUAAAUGUCAAUUGUUCUACAAUACAAAUGCGUAAAAAUAAAAUGAAAACUAAAAUGACAAUUUUACAUGUACCUUUUACGGGAGUCGAAGAAGUUGUUGGGCAUUCCUCCAAAUAGGUGUCAUCAAAAAGCGUUGGUGAAUCCAUCUGAUAAGGAAAUAAAAAUUUGGCAGCAUCAAAAUUCAUUUUAAAUAACUUAACAUAAUAUAAUAUAAUUACCUUCGGGACAUAUACAAUAAUUAAAGUGAUACUAAUUUGAAAAUUCAUGAAAUAGAUGAUGUAAAAUCGGAAUUAGAAGAAACUUGCCCUCAUGUGGAAUAGAAAAAUAUUUAUAAACUAUAUCGUCUUUUUCUAUUUUAAACAAAUGUGGGUCCAAUUUAACUGCCGACAAAAUACCUAAACCAGAUGACGAUUCCAAUGGUUCUUGAAAGUAGUUUUCAACACCCAAGAAACAAUGUGCCGAUAAAGUUGCGAUACCAAAUUCCUCUGUCAUGCCUGUAACUUUUAUGGGGCCUAAUUUUUGACUAAAACAAUAGCGUUUUUUUUUUUUUUAAUCUAUAUUAAACCAGUAAAUUUUGGAUAUUUUAUUGCUAGUAAAAUCUAGAAUAUUUCUUUCUUCUAGCCUUAAAUGUAAUUGCUGCAGGAUUUUAUUGGGCUUAUUUAUACGUUUUUUUAAAUAUUGCAUGUGAUUUUCAAACUUGUAAGCGGAAAAGUUGUCUAGUGGACCAUAUUGCUUGUUAUAGUCAGUUAAAUGGAGUAAACCAUGUAUAUUGUAACUAACUAAAUGGUCACGGUAUAUAUUUCCAAACAAAUAAACGAAUUCUUCCAAGAUUUGUUGGGCAACAUUGGCUUCAGUGCUAUAAGACUUCUUGCAUGAUAGUAGCCUUAUACCUGCGUGCAAUAAGAGGAAAUGGUAGUAAUGGUCACCACCAAUGCAAUCCUUUAGGACAAAUAUACCUAUAUAUAAUAAAAACUGCCUAAACUCUGUCGCUUUCCUAUUGCUGAUUUCAUCUAAACUUCUACAUAUUCGACCGAACUCUGAAGGAACUAAAUUGGAAUGAAAUGUUAUUUUUUCGUUAACUUUCGUUACGUUUAUAUUGCCUUUUUUAAUUAACAAUUGAUGCAACUUUUUACAUACACCAAGAUCAACACGGUGCAAUAAAAACUGCCUAAACUCUGUCGCUUUCCAAUUGCUGAUUUCAUCUAAAUUUCUACAUAUUCGACCGAACUCUGAAGGAACUAAAUUGGAAAGAAAUGUUAUUUUUUCGUUAACUUUCGCUUCGUUUAUAUUGCCUUUUUAAUUAACAAUUGAAGCAACUUUUUACAUACACCAAGAUCAACAAGGUGCAUUGGAUCUAAAGGAAAUUGGGAAACCAUUUUGAAAUUUUCUGACUCAAAAAUGCCUUCUCUAAAUUUAAAAGGAUUAAUGUGAUAUGACCUGUCACUUCUAUUUUUAAAAGAUUGGUCAGUUCUUAAAUGUUUUAUUUGUUUUGAAAAAAAAACUCUCCUUUCUUUGUAGUCACCCACUUGAUCACAUUUAGAACAACUACUUUUUCCAGUGUGCGACUGCACACCUGUAACAAAGGCUCGAGCGGGAGCAUCACAACAAAACAAACGAAUAUCAAAUUUUUUCUUUACAGGAUAAGUACCAACCUAAAGACCAUUUUUUUUAAUAAUUUACUUCUUCACAAAAUUCUUUUAAAAAAUCAUUAAUGCUCCAAGGUUUUUCUGUUCCAGAAAAGCACGCAAUUGUAAACGGCAAUUCGUUUGGAAAAUUAACUAUUGAUGCUAGAAUAGGCCACAAUACUUUAUUCGAACUCUUGAAUAAUUUCAGGCCAUCUAUUCCCACAUCAAGCACAAUAUUAUUUUCAUUUUCCAUUUUCCAUAUAAAAAAGAUCCACUUGGAAUCGUUUGAAUAUUUACUUUUUUUCGGCUGGUACCUAGGAGACUUUUAGCCGUUAGAGGUAAAUCUGUGCAACCUAUUUUUCGCAACGUUUGCAGAAGAUCGGUUACUGUAUUAUGGGAUACUCUAUUCCUUAAAGCCCAAGCUUUUAAUUCUAAACUAAAUGAAUUAUUUUCUGUCACUUUUAAAAUUUCGCUAUCACUAUUAUUCCUAUCAUUAACACAGCUAUCACUGCAAUUUGAAGAAAAAUCAAGUGAGCUUAGUGAACUGCAUCCCUCCACAUCAGGAUCACAUUCAAAAUUUACAUCUUUUUCACAAAUUUUCACAAAUUUAGAUGCACUAAGAUUAAAAGCCUUUUUUCCCGGCUCAUGUAUGCACUAAAUGUAUUUUUCUUCAUAUUGAAUUAUUAUUUGUUUUACUCACCGUUUUUCCAAAUAUGUAUUAUGGCACUUGUAGAAAAAUAUUCACAAAUCUGCACAAUUGAACACAAUUAAAUAAAUUUAAAUAUUUAUUUUAAGUAAUUUUGCAUAAAUAUGCCCAAGCACAAAUCCGCACAAUUCUCAAUUAUCGACGCGUUUGUAACCGAAUUUUGUUUUUCUUCGAAUUCAAUUUGUCACAAUGAACAAGCAAACAUCAAAUUCACGGUAUCAUGCUGUACGCUUUCACAUCCAUCGUUUUCAUUAAGAGGUGACAGCUAAAAAAUUUGUUUGUCUUCUUUUGUUUUAUUUUUGCUUAACAUCUGUUGAGUGAAGAGCCUAUAGUAUAAAACAAACAAAAGACACAAUAGAUUGACUUCCUACUCAUUUCAAAGAUUUGUGAGGGAGUGUUAGAGACAAGUAAAAUUGUGUAAUUGUAUUAGAGUUUCGGUCACGCAAGUUUUGCUUAGAAGCGAGAUCGCUUGUGGAAUUUGCGCCUGCGUUCAUGAAUGAAAUCGUUUUUGUUGUAAAAUUUACUACACUUGUUCUUCGCCAAUUUGGCUGCCAUAUCCCUGCCAACAUUUGGAAGUGUCUUUUAUCGCCAACGCCAAAUACGUCACGCUUUAGUCACUUCCGUACGUUAAAAUAAAGAUAGUUGUCGCGUUCACGUGUCAAACGCCAAAUGCGUCACUUUUAAGUCACUUCCAGACGUUAAAUAAAAGAUUGUUGUCCCGUUAUGCAAAAGAUAAACAAUGAACGCGAUCACCGACGUUGAAGUCGCAGCGACUGCAAAAUGAAAUUAGAUGAAAACAACAGAAUAGAAAAAGAAGUUGUUGACAUCUGGUUCAUUGGUUUUGUGUCUUCUGCAGUUUGUGGUCAGUGCUAAAGUGCGAUAUUGUUUUUGGAACUAGUAAAAUUAUUUGUUUCGUAGUGUUUUAAUUUGAAAUAUUAUUGAAAAUAUAAUUAAAAUGAGUGAAUUGUCAGUAAAGGCUAUUAAAUUGAAAAAUAAAAGAGAAGCAUCUAAAUUAAUACGCAAUAUUAAUGAAAGCACAUAUAGCGGCAGUAAUAAAGUUAAAAAAAUAAAUGUCGGUGAAGGUCAUUGUAAAGAAAGUUCAAAAGAAAGUUGUGAACCCAGUGUUUCGAGCAGUGUUAUUAAAUGUAGUGAUAGUGUUUUUUUGUCAAGUGAUAGCUCAAGUGAGUUUGAGGAUUUUAGAGAAGAAAUAAGUAAAACUGAGGUAAUGAAUAUAACAGAAAAGUUACGAAAAUGGACGAUUGAAAAAAAUAUUUGCAAUAGUGCUUUAAAUGACUUGUUGCAAAUAUUACGAGAACAUAAUGUGAGUGUCCCUAAAGACUGCCGAACGUUAAAAAAAACCCCAAAGGAGGUUACCCCUCGCAGUAUGGGAGAGGGUUUCUACAGUCAUUAUGGCAUAGAAGACGCCCUCACAGACUUUUUGUUAGUAAAUGAUUACCCUUCAGAGAUUAUUGAACUAGAUUUUAAUAUUGAUGGACUACCAUUGUGCAAAAGUUCAAAUAAACAAGUUUGGCCUAUUUUAUGUAAUGUCCCUGGAUAUCGUGAAGUGCUUUUAGUAGGCGUUUACGAAGGCUAUUCUAAACCAAAAAACUCAGAUGAGUUUUUAUCAGAGUUCAUAGAUGAGCUUCAUAAUUUAAUUGGAAGUGGAUUUCAAUACAAAAACAAGUUUUUUUACAAUAAAACCUAGAUGUUUCGUAAUGGAUGCACCAGCAGGAUCGUUUGUGUUGGAGAUUAAAGGUCACACUGGUUUCUAUUCAUGUACGAGAUGUUUGCAAAAAGGAGAAAUGUUCAAACAUCGGCUUAUAUUCCCCAAUAUUGAAUGUUCCUCCUUACGAAAUGAUACUUCGUUCAGGAAUAGGUUUCAGCCAGAGCAUCACAACCAACAGGAUGGAACAAUGAUUGAAAAACUUCCAAUUGAUAUGGUUCAUCAAAUAGGUUUAGAUUAUAUGCAUGUUAUUUGUCUAGGAGUAACACGAACUCUUUUAAAAGCUUGGGCGAGGAAAAAGGGUGAACAAUACUCUUUGACGUUUUGGAAAAUUUGCACACUUUCCAGUAGAUUAACUAACCUAAAAAAUUCUUGUCCACGCGAGUUUUGUAGAAAGCCACGGUCCUUAGAUGAACUUGAACGUUGGAAAGCAACUGAACUCCGCCAAUUUCUUUUGUAUUACGGCCCCGUAAUUUUAGAAUCAGUUUUAUCUCAAGAAAGAUUUGUACAUUUUUUAAAGCUAUCUGUUGCAAUUAGAAUUCUUUUAUCGAAAAAGGAUUGCCAGAUUAAUAAUACAUAUGCUCAAAAUCUGCUCUUUAGCUUUGUUAAAGAUGUUCCCUCGCUAUAUGACCUAACUUUCUUAACUUGCAAUUUUCAUUACCUGCUUCACAUUCAUGAAGAUGCAAAGAAGUUUGAAAGCUUGGAAAGUAUAAGCGCUUUCAGAUUUGAAAAUCAUCUUCAAAAAUUGAAGAAGCAAGUUAAGAAAGCAAGUAAUGUGUCCGCCCAAUUAUACAAUAGGCAAGUAGAAACUAGUUUUACUUUAAAAGCAGUUGAAAAAAAAACAAGUGUACAGUUCAGCCGAAAGAAUAUUAGUGAGGAUUUUUAUUUUCAUGUGCAAACUUCUGACUUUUAUUUCUCAAUUGAAAAACCAAACAAUUUUUGCUAUGUGGGAGAUGAUAUUGUUAAAAUUGAUAAAAUAACACGACACAAUAAUUUGCCUAGAUUUGAAGGACACACUAUAACAAACUUAAAACCACUAUUAUCACAGCCCCUAAGCUUAGAACACAUUAAAAUUUAUAAAACCGAAGUAAUUACUUUGAAAAAUAAAAUAAACUUUACCAUAGAGGAUAUUUCAAAUAAAGCUAUUGUUUUGCAAAGUGUUGACAGUACUUUCGCUGUAUUUCCAUUUCUUUAAAAAUGGCGUCUAAUAAUGCUCCUAAUACAGGUAAGAUAUUAAGUAUGUAUUGAAUUUAUUUAAAGUUAAAUAAAUAUUUUAAACUUUAUAGAAGAUACUUUUACAUUUUUGAGUGAUGGCUAUACCCAAGUACAAUACAUCCCACUGACGAAUAUAUCGAAUGGUAUAUAUUUUAAUAGAUCUUAAUUCUUUGCAAUUUAUUAAAAAUGUUUAAUUUUCUAGUAAGCACAACAGCUGCGUCUUCAGAUCAAGGAACCAUACAAACGAUUUUGCAAGAGUUACGUUCUUUGCAAACAAAAUUUGAAAAAUUCGAAGAAACUAAUACAAAAAUAAUAAAAACUUUGACGGAAGAAGUCGUUGCGUUAAAAACCGAAGUCAAGCAGCAAAGAAAUAUGCGUGAGAAGGGCGAUACGUCUCUAAUACCUUCCUUGCCUUUCACGGAUGUCAAGGACUUUAUUGAUUUUGACACGAAGCUGCUGUUGAACGACAAAAUGACAUCUCAGCUGAUGCCUGUCAUUCCAAAUAUUCGAACUCGACCGAUAUGGAUAUAAAUAAAGUGUAUACAUACUUCACGCCCGAGACAGAGUACAAACAAAACAAACAAACAAUUAAUGAACUGAAAAAUUAAAAAAUCUUAUUUCUAAUAUUCACAUGAAUUAAUUAUUUUUUUUUUGUAAUACAUUUUUGAAUUGAAAUAAAUAUAAAAAAUUUAAAAACGAAAAUUUUAACUUCCACAAGUCACUAAUACGUAACUUCUGAAAGUAACGUCCGCGGGGAACAACUUCUCAAUAAGGAAGUGACUUCUACGAUGAAAAAAAUGUAUCGCAGGCGUUGAAUUGUAACUUCUUGAAGUCACUUAUAGGUGACUUUUGCGAUAGAAAAUGUUGGCAGGGUAUUGACAUGUGAAGAUCAAUUUU